ensembl:snRNA U6 U6 spliceosomal RNA
ACACUAUUCAGCAGUGCAUAUACUAAAAUUGGAAUGAUACAGAGAAUAUUAGAAUGGCCCCUGCUCAAGGAUGACAUGCAAAUUCUGAAGUGCUACAUUUUUUU